rnacentral:rRNA from 1 species
AACGAACGCUGGCGGCAUGCCUAACACAUGCAAGUCGAACGAGACCUUCUUGUCUAUUCGCGCCCGUUUGCGUAACGCGCGGGGACCUGCCCUUAUGUUCGCAAUAACUACCCGAAAAGGGUUCUAAUACCAUAUAAUGUCUUCGACCCAAAGAUUUAUCGCCUUUGGAUGGGCCCGCGUUGGAUUAGCUAGUUGGUAGGGUAAAAGCCUACCAAGGCGACGAUCCAUAGCUGGCCUGAGAGGAUGAUCAGCCACACUGGGACUGAGACACGGCCCAGACUCCUACGGGAAGCAGCAGUGGGGAAUAUUGGACAAUGGGCGAAAGCCUGAUGCAGCAAUGCCGCGUGAGUGAUGAAGGUCUUAGGGUUGUAAAGCUCUUUUACCCGGGAUGAUAAUGACAGUACCGGGAGAGUAAGCUCCGGCUAACUACGUG